ensembl:snoRNA SNORA62 Small nucleolar RNA SNORA62/SNORA6 family
GCUGCACAUGUAAUUUUAAAUUUUCCAAUGUAGGUAGUGCUACAUGAGGAGGGACAAGUCUUUUGCUAAUAGCACAAGGGGCUCUGGCCCAAUGAGUGAGUCUGAUAGUAAUUCUUAUCAAGUGU